rnacentral:rRNA from 1 species
CCUACGGGGGGCUGCAGUGGGGAAUAUUGGACAAUGGGCGAAAGCCUGAUCCAGCCAUGCCGCGUGUGUGAAGAAGGCCUUCGGGUUGUAAAGCACUUUCAGUGGGGAAGAAAGCCUUGGGGCUAAUACCCUCGAGGAAGGACAUCACCCACAGAAGAAGCACCGGCUAACUCCGUGCCAGCAGCCGCGGUAAUACGGAGGGUGCGAGCGUUAAUCGGAAUUACUGGGCGUAAAGCGCGCGUAGGUGGUCUGAUAAGCCGGUUGUGAAAGCCCCGGGCUCAACCUGGGAACGGCAUCCGGAACUGUCAGGCUAGAGUGCAGGAGAGGAAGGUAGAAUUCCCGGUGUAGCGGUGAAAUGCGUAGAGAUCGGGAGGAAUACCAGUGGCGAAGGCGGCCUUCUGGACUGACACUGACGCUGAGGUGCGAAAGCGUGGGUAGCAAACAGGAUUAGAUACCCGGGUAGUC